rnacentral:rRNA from 1 species
CCUACGGGGGGCAGCAGUAGGGAAUCUUCCACAAUGGGCGAAAGCCUGAUGGAGCAACGCCGCGUGGGUGAAGAAGGUCUUCGGAUCGUAAAACCCUGUUGUUAGAGAAGAAAGUGCGUGAGAGUAACUGUUCACGUUUCGACGGUAUCUAACCAGAAAGCCACGGCUAACUACGUGCCAGCAGCCGCGGCAAUACGUAGGUGGCGAGCGUUAUCCGGAUUUAUUGGGCGUAAAGGGAACGCAGGCGGUCAUUUAAGGCAGCGGUCAAAGCCCGGGGCUCAACCCCGGCCCGCCGUUGAAACUGG